UAGCUACAGGCUUAACACAUGCAAGUCGAGGGGCAGCAUUUUAGUUUGCUUGCAAACUGAAGAUGGCGACCGGCGCACGGGUGAGUAACACGUAUCCAACCUGCCGAUAACUCCGGAAUAGCCUUUCGAAAGAAAGAUUAAUACCGGAUAGCAUACGAAUAUCGCAUGAUAUUUUUAUUAAAGAAUUUCGGUUAUCGAUGGGGAUGCGUUCCAUUAGUUUGUUGGCGGGGUAACGGCCCACCAAGACUACGAUGGAUAGGGGUUCUGAGAGGAAGGUCCCCCACAUUGGAACUGAGACACGGUCCAAACUCCUACGGGAGGCAGCAGUGAGGAAUAUUGGUCAAUGGGCGAGAGCCUGAACCAGCCAAGUAGCGUGAAGGAUGAAGGCUCUAUGGGUCGUAAACUUCUUUUAUAUGGGAAUAAGGUUUUCCACGUGUGGAAUUUUGUAUGUACCAUAUGAAUAAGGAUCGGCUAACUCCGUGCCAGCAGCCGCGGUAAUACGGAGGAUCCGAGCGUUAUCCGGAUUUAUUGGGUUUAAAGGGAGCGUAGGUGGAUUGUUAAGUCAGUUGUGAAAGUUUGCGGCUCAACCGUAAAAUUGCAGUUGAAACUGGCAGUCUUGAGUACAGUAGAGGUGGGCGGAAUUCGUGGUGUAGCGGUGAAAUGCUUAGAUAUCACGAAGAACUCCGAUUGCGAAGGCAGCUCACUAGACUGUCACUGACACUGAUGCUCGAAAGUGUGGGUAUCAAACAGGAUUAGAUACCCUGGUAGUCCACACAGUAAACGAUGAAUACUCGCUGUUUGCGAUAUACAGUAAGCGGCCAAGCGAAAGCAUUAAGUAUUCCACCUGGGGAGUACGCCGGCAAAGGUGAAACUCAAAGGAAUUGACGGGGGCCCGCACAAGCGGAGGAACAUGUGGUUUAAUUCGAUGAUACGCGAGGAACCUUACCCGGGCUUAAAUUGCAACAGAAUAUAUUGGAAACAGUAUAGCCGUAAGGCUGUUGUGAAGGUGCUGCAUGGUUGUCGUCAGCUCGUGCCGUGAGGUGUCGGCUUAAGUGCCAUAACGAGCGCAACCCUUAUCUUUAGUUACUAACAGGUCAUGCUGAGGACUCUAGAGAGACUGCCGUCGUAAGAUGUGAGGAAGGUGGGGAUGACGUCAAAUCAGCACGGCCCUUACGUCCGGGGCUACACACGUGUUACAAUGGGGGGUACAGAAGGCGGCUACCUGGUGACAGGAUGCUAAUCCCAAAAACCUCUCUCAGUUCGGAUCGAAGUCUGCAACCCGACUUCGUGAAGCUGGAUUCGCUAGUAAUCGCGCAUCAGCCAUGGCGCGGUGAAUACGUUCCCGGGCCUUGUACACACCGCCCGUCAAGCCAUGAAAGCCGGGGGUACCUGAAGUACGUAACCGCAAGGAGCGUCCUAGGGUAAAACUGGUAAUUGGGGCUAAGUCAUA
rnacentral:rRNA from 1 species